rnacentral:ncRNA from 2 species
AGAUGCAGGCAAGCUCGAGGUGCUGCCCUGCUAGGGAGGGUGGGAAAUCGGGAAGCCGGUCAAAAUCCGGCGCUGCCCCCGCAACGGUGGUGGAGAAUGCGUUUUGGCACAAGGCCACUGGGGGCAACCCUGGGAAGGCGCCGACGCGGUCCGCAAAUGGACCACUCCUGAGCCCGGAAACCAGCCUCGGCAGACGGACAUUU